GCCUCUUUGGUGGAAUUGGCAGACACGCAGGUUUUAGGUACCUGUCUUCGGGUAUGGGUUCGAGUCCCAUAGGAGGCA
rnacentral:tRNA from 1 species